UUAUAUGAUUUCUUAAAGCACCCUGACAAAAAAUAUAAGAAAACACGCCAGAUUAAGCACAAUCUUAGAUGCCUUUACUUUAGACUCAGAAAAAAUCAUGAAAAGGUAUCAUAAGGCAUAAGCUUCUCGCAAAUUGAUGUGUCUCACUUCCUUCUGAAAAAAGUAAGAAUGAAAUGGGAGACACUCCUUCAAGAUUGAAAAAUAAUGCAUACCCAUUAGAAGAGUUGGAUAAUGUAAAUUCAUAAGUCUAAUACAACAGCGGAAAAUGUUGCACUUGCACUUCUCAUGGAAUUAGUAAAGCCAAUUGCAUAUUUAAUUAGAGAUUUCUAUUGGAUCCCUUAUAGCUGGCUGCAGAUAAGGGUUCAAAAUUCGCAUCAAACCAAUCAUCAUAAGCCCACAUUCCGCAAAAUGAAAGGCAACGAUAUUUUUUACACCAACAAUUGAGAAAGCAACUACCAAGAUUAUAAAACUAAAGAAGAACAUUGAAAGUUUACAUCCUUUAUCUCUUGAUAGUACAUGAAAUGGGGCACAAAAUGGAAGCAUCACUAACAUUUGUAAAGCACUUCAAAAGAAGAAGAAACAAAGAGAAGAGCGAGGGAAGGGAAUGCUACCAUAGGUUGCUAGGAUGAGUAUGGUACAGGAUCAUCACAUAAAACUUAAAAAGAAGCCUUAUCCUGUAGAUGAGUUUGAGUUUUCCAUGUUAGAAGUCUUAGCCAAAGUACCUUCUUUUCCCCAAAAUUAUUUUUAAGAGUAACAAAAUGCUUAUUGCUUUUACUCUCUUUUUUUUUUUUUUG
rnacentral:misc_RNA from 1 species